GACGAACGCUGGCGGCGUGCUUAACACAUGCAAGUCGAACGGUGAAGCUCCAGCUUGCUGGAGUGGAUCAGUGGCGAACGGGUGAGUAACACGUGAGCAACCUGCCCCUGACUCUGGAAUAAGCGCUGGAAACGGCGUCUAAUACUGGAUACGAGAAGGGUCCGCAUGGGCACUUUCUGGAAAGUUUUUCGGUUGGGGAUGGGCUCGCGGCCUAUCAGCUUGUUGGUGAGGUAAUGGCUCACCAAGGCGACGACGGGUAGCCGGCCUGAGAGGGCGACCGGCCACACUGGGACUGAGACACGGCCCAGACUCCUACGGGAGGCAGCAGUGGGGAAUAUUGCACAAUGGGCGAAAGCCUGAUGCAGCGACGCCGCGUGAGGGAUGACGGCCUUCGGGUUGAAAACCUCUUUCAGCAGGGAGGAAGCGAAAGUGACGGUACCUGCAGAAGAAGCACCGGCUAACUACGUG
rnacentral:rRNA from 1 species